GGCUCAGAUUGAACGCUGGCGGAAUGCUUUACACAUGCAAGUCGAACGGUAGAGGGGGCAACCCCUUGAGAGUGGCGAACGGGUGAGUAAUGCAUCGGAACGUGCCCGGUCGUGGGGGAUAACGCAGCGAAAGCUGCGCUAAUACCGCAUACGAUCUGAGGAUGAAAGCAGGGGACCGCAAGGCCUUGCGCUCAUGGAGCGGCCGAUGGCAGAUUAGGUAGUUGGUGGGAUAAAAGCUUACCAAGCCGACGAUCUGUAGCUGGUCUGAGAGGACGACCAGCCACACUGGGACUGAGACACGGCCCAGACUCCUACGGGAGGCAGCAGUGGGGAAUUUUGGACAAUGGGCGCAAGCCUGAUCCAGCCAUUCCGCGUGAGUGAAGAAGGCCUUCGGGUUGUAAAGCUCUUUCGCAAGGGAAGAAACGAUACCGACGAAUAAUCGGUGUUAAUGACGGUACCUUGAUAAGAAGCACCGGCUAACUACGUG
rnacentral:rRNA from 1 species